rfam:Ovis aries breed Texel chromosome 6, whole genome shotgun sequence.
UCUUUGGUAGCACAGAUGGUAAAGAAUCUGCCUGCAAUGCAGGAGAUCCAGGUUCAAUUCCUGGGUCAGGAA